rnacentral:lncRNA from 1 species
UCAAAGAGUCAAUAAACAAAAUGGAAGUGUAAUAAGUGUUAGGCAAUCUUUUGGAAUUUAUUUGUUUAAUUUUGUUAGUAUGUUAAUAUAAAUAAAACAGUUACAAUGGAUAUACUCCCAGGUAUUCUUUAGUUUAUCUGUGAAGAAGUGCACGUUUUGAUGUUUUUAGAUCCCCCUACCUUAACUGUUGAAUGUACUUACUUAUAGAAUAGGAAAUGGAAGGGGUCCAUGCCUCAUUUAAAAAAGGCCCAGGCCUUUAUGAAUUUCUCAUAGAAGCCGAACUUCAGCAAUAUUUUAACAGUUUCAAGUAAGUAAAUCAACAUAUUUUAUAUUUUUCCUAUUUAAAUAUUCCGAAUAGAGUAAGAAUUAAAAUAGACUUCACACAUAUCAUAUAACAUAACAGUAAAAUAGGAUCACAAAUAUGGAUAUCCCAAUAAAAUAACCGACUUAGUGGCGGACCUACAGAGAGGGAAAAUGGGGAUAUUACCCCCCCCCCCUAACAAGGUCCAAAAUUAAAGAAAAAAUUGUUGAAACGUAAAAUUAUAUAAGCUGAGAUGAAACUUAAAUCACAGCGAGACAAAAUCUACCCAAUAAAACCCCUAGUUAGGAAAAUAAUCCAUACCUAUAAGGUAUUAUGUAUGUUCUUUAUGUAGUUUGGGUUUAUCUUUUGCAUGUUUUUUGGUUGGUGUUUCGAUGGAGGUUCCCCCCUAUUAAGGCAAAUUUCUGCUCUCAAGACAAAUGUCUAGAUCCGCCACUGAACAUAUCUUUAUUUUUCUGCAUUACUUGGAAAAUCUUCUACUGUCAAAAAUUAGUAUUUUUGUUCCUACUUAAUCAACAAGACAAACUCAAACUUUUCAUAUAAGCUUCCAUAGAUAUAAAUAUACUUACAACAGUUUUUUACCACGAACACUUAGACUUACGAAUUCCCUAAAUGACUUACAUAUAUUCUGCAAUUCCUUGUAUAGAUUUAAAAACCAUUUGUUGAACAUACAAAUAUAACUGAAUGUUAAUAAUAUAAUUUCUAUCAUCAAUUUUUAAGAUUAAACUUUGUUUUUUAUAUUGUAAAGUUCUUUUUUUUCCUUUAACUUAAUAGCUUUGUAAUCUAAUAGAUAUUGUAAUAUUUGAUCUUUGUGUUGACACUUAUUGUUUUUAUUGUUUUUGUUUUUUGUCUUUGUAAUAUUUUUUUUUCGUUGUAAUAUUUUUCUUUGAAUUGGGCUUGCCCGUAAAUAAAUAAAUAAAUAAAUAGACAUCUAAUUUCCAUUGAUGUAAUGUGACACAACAUCUAUAGGCGACAUUUGUAAAAUAAUGAGUUGUGACAAAAAAUCGAUAGAAUGUAUAUGAAAUACACGACAUCCAUGGUCGUCAUACACAUGUUUAUUUAUUUAUUUUCAACGGGCUGCUGCCCAAUAUGAUUACAAGUUUAUAAUAUAAUAUUUCAAUAUA